ensembl:lncRNA
GUCUCAUGCAGCAGUGAACGAAGCUCCGGACCAAUACACUGCUUUCGCUGCCGGGAGGUGUGCAAAGGAGAGGUGGUACGAGUGCAGCAUGUGCACUUCCACAUCAAAUGCUUCACCUGCCAAGUGUGUGGCUGUGAUUUGGCACAUUCCGGAUUCUUCCAGAAGAGUGGUGAGUACAUCUGCACAGCAGACUACCAGCGCCUGUACGGAACAAAGUGUGACAGCUGUGAGGACUUUAUCUCAGGGGAGGUGGUCUCUGCUCUGGGCCGCACAUAUCAUCCACAGUGUUUCGUUUGCAGCGUGUGCAGGAAACCUUUUCCAAUUGGGGACAGAGUGACGUUCAGUGGUAAAGAAUGUGUCUGUCAGCACUGUUCCCUCAAACUGGUUAAUUCCAAUGAGCCAAUCAAAAUCCAUGGGCCCAGCCAGUGUGCAGGUUGUAAGGAGGAGAUCAAACAGGGUCAAUCUCUGCUGGCGUUAGAGAAACAGUGGCACGUCAGCUGCUUCAGGUGUCAGACCUGCGGCCUGGUCCUGACGGCCGAGUACAUCAGCAAAGACGGCGUUCCUUACUGUGAGUCAGACUACCAUGCCCAGUUUGGGAUAAAGUGUGAAACAUGCGACAGAUACAUCAGUGGACGUGUGCUGGAGGUGAGUCUACAUCCAAUCACAGGACCAUGUUUUGAACAAAUUGUUUUAGUGUGGCAUCCUGUGUGUAAACAAGCAUCUCGAGCAGAGAGGAAACUCAGACUCAGGCGCACAUCAGAAACCUCCAUCUCUCCGCCAGGCUCUAGCAUUAGUUCACCCAGCAGAGUCAUCUGUUCUUUGGGCACACUCUCCCCUUAUUCUCAGGACAUGUAUGACAGUAUGGACAUGAGGAUUAGAAGAUCCUCCAGUCCGGGUUACAUAGACUCCCCCACCUACAGCAGACAGGGCAUGUCUCCCAUCAUGCCCCGCUCUCCACAGCACUACUACAGAUACGGCACUGAGAGUGGCAGAAGUUCACCCUAUUACAAUCAGCUAGAUGCCCGGUCCAGCACGCCCACCACAAACCCAGCUCCCAAGCAUUUCCAUGUGCCAGCCACAGGGGAGCCCAACAUCUACAGGAAGCCUCCCAUCUAUAAGAGACAUGCAACCAAGAGCAAGACCAGUGAAGACAUUGUCCAAUCUUCCAAAUUCCCAUCAGCCUACUCGCCUGAACACUACCAGCACUCAGAGUCUGAUUACUACCAUUACACCAGCUCUCCUAAAUCUUUACGUGCUAUUCGGAGAAGGUACUCAUCAGGUGGAGAAGAAGAUGGCUGGAGUCACGGCCUUCAAAGAAUUCAGGGUGGUAUCGGUAGGAUGAUCCUGAAGGAGGAGAUGAAAGCCCGCUCCGGUUCCUAUGACAACGACCCCUGGGGCAGCGCACGGAACUCCCGCAGUGGGAGCAGGGAGAUGUUGCACAGCAUGGGCCACAACAACACAGUUAACGGCUCUCCUCGGACAAACUUUGCACCGGAGAAUGACUACAUAUCCAAGUCAGCCUCUUUGCCCGGAUAUGGCAGGAAUGGAUUGCACAGGCCACAAAGUGCAGACUACUAUCAGUAUGACAGUGGCAGUGAAGUCAACUGGGGAAUCAGAGCACUUAUUGUGACCACUAGGGGGCGUAACAGGUUGCCAAAGGAUGUAGACCGGGCCAGAUUGGAGCGGCAUCUUUCCCCGGAGGAGUUCUAUCAGGUGUUUGGGAUGACGAUGGUUGAGUUUGACCGUCUGGCACUGUGGAAGAGGAACGAGAUGAAGAAACAAGCCCGGCUGUUCUAACAUUUCUGUCCCACACUCACACAGAGACCUGAAUACCUGUUCCAGUCUAACAUCCUCAGACACAUAGUCAUGCCUGGUCUGUACCUAGAAAUUGUGCAACUGUUCUUUGUGACAGAUGCAUAUAAAUGAUCAGACAGGCUAGAAUAAUUGACAAAGAAAAACAGAAAUAAAUAACAUAAACAGAAUGGUGGGAAUAUCUUA